rnacentral:rRNA from 1 species
CCUACGGGAGGCAGCAGUGGGGAAUAUUGGGCAAUGGAGGCAACUCUGACCCAGCAACGUCGCGUGAAUGAUGACGGUCUUCGGAUUUUUAAGUUCUGUGAUGCGGGAUGAACACAAUGACGGUACCCCAAUAGCAAGCCACGGCUAACUACGUGCCAGCGGCCGCGGUAAUACGUAGGUGGCAAGCGUUAUCCGGAAUGACUGGGCGUAAAGGGUGCGUAGGGGGUUAAGUAAGUUGGCGGGGUAAUUCCAGGGCUCAACCUCGGCGCUACCGCCAAAACUAUUAGACUAGAGUGCAGGAGGGGUAAGUGGAAUUCGUGGUGUAGCGGUGGAAUGCGUAGAUAUUAGGAGGAAC